rnacentral:rRNA from 1 species
UGGGGAAUAUUGGACAAUGGGCGCAAGCCUGAUCCAGCCAUGCCGCGUGAGUGAUGAAGGCCUUAGGGUUGUAAAGCUCUUUUGUCCGGGAAGAUAAUGACUGUACCGGAAGAAUAAGCACCGGCUAACUACGUG